UACGGGGGGGGCAAGCGUUGUUCGGAAUUACUGGGCGUAAAGGGCGCGUAGGCGGCUCGCUAAGUCGGAUGUGAAAACUCUGGGCUCAACCCAGAGCCUGCAUUCGAAACUGACGAGCUAGAGUUCUGGAGGGGAAAGCGGAAUUCCUGGUGUAGCGGUGAAAUGCGUAGAUAUCAGGAGGAACACCGGUGGCGAAGGCGGCUUUCUGGACAGAAACUGACGCUGAGGCGCGAAAGCUAGGGGAGCAAACAGG
rnacentral:rRNA from 1 species